AUACUCUGGUUUCUCUUUGAAUCAUAUAAAAUUUUCAUCUUUCACUAAAGAUUUCCAUGGAGAAGAACAUAAAUGAACUUGGAACUACUUUUUUGAAACUUUACGCUAUCCAAGUG
ensembl:snRNA U5 U5 spliceosomal RNA